rnacentral:rRNA from 1 species
AUUGAACGCUGGCGGCAUGCCUUACACAUGCAAGUCGAACGGCAGCACGGGAGCAAUCCUGGUGGCGAGUGGCGAACGGGUGAGUAAAGUAUCGGAACGUGCCCAGUCGUGGGGGAUAACGUAGCGAAAGUUACGCUAAUACCGCAUACGAUCUAUGGAUGAAAGCGGGGGAUCGCAAGACCUCGCGCGAUUGGAGCGGCCGAUAUCAGAUUAGGUAGUUGGUGGGGUAAAGGCUCACCAAGCCGACGAUCUGUAGCUGGUCUGAGAGGACGACCAGCCACACUGGGACUGAGACACGGCCCAGACUCCGACGGGAGGCAGCAGUGGGGAAUUUUGGACAAUGGGCGCAAGCCUGAUCCAGCCAUGCCGCGUGCAGGAUGAAGGCCUUCGGGUUGUAAACUGCUUUUGUACGGAACGAAAAGGUUUGACUUAAUACGUGGGACUCAUGACGGUACCGUAAGAAUAAGCACCGGCUAACUACGUGCCAGCAGCCGCGGUAA